UAUAUUAUUAUUAUUUUUAAAUUUUACUAAUUAUACAAUAAAUCAAUCACGUGUAUCAGUGCAGGUAUACAUAUUUUAAUAACAAUACACUUAAAAACUCCUAAGGACGUUAUACCCGUAUAUGUUGUCUCAGUCGUACUAACACUUAACAUAACACAUCUUUGUUAAGAAGUAUUCAUUUUACUCUGUUAAUUUUAAUACUGGAGUUAAUCGAUAUAUUCCCAAAUUUAAAGGAUAGAAUUCUUACCUUUAUUCUUGGUUCUUAUGGACGUCAAAAAUACCAUGUUAUGAGUUAGUAAUAGAUAACACAAAGUGUAAAUAAAGUGUUCAAGUGUUCAACAAUUUCUAAAAAAAAAA